rnacentral:lncRNA from 1 species
UUGUGUGCAUCUUACUUUCAUCUCUCUCUUUGAUUCACAGUAAAGAGAAGGCAUCUCUCAUGGAUUCAUCUCGUCCAUCUCCUCACAAAACUGACGCAGCCACGACCGACUCAGCCAUCUCCUCGCAAAACCGACAAAAAUUAACUCCGCCCAUCUCGUUAAUUUACACCAAGCCAUCUCUCGAUCUGUCGAUUCACUUCAAGGUAACAAAAUUAGAUGUGGGUAGAUGGAUUUUCUUACUGUUAGUGUUGAAAUUAUGCUUAAUUUUCAAAGAUUUUGUGUUUUGAUUUUCAAUAAUUGCUUUUUUAGGGCUAAUAAUUUUUGAGGGCCAAACCCUAGAAUCUUCAAGGGGAUUAUUGCGAACUUUAAGGGCUAAUAAUUUGUGCUCACGAAGUGGAUUUUAGUUAUAAUCUUGCUUUAGAAUUUAGUUGGGCAUGGUAUCUAGUAUAUUACUUGGGCAUGGUAUCUAGUAUAGUAGUGUAUGACCACACAACAAGUAAGCACUCUGGAUUGCAAUUUGAUAAGAUUUGCCUCCUUUUUUUUCCCAUUUUUUGCUAUUAGUUAAUAUUUAUUUCAAAGAAGAUUUUUCAUUUGUUUUUCUAAUUGUAGUUCAUCUAAUCUGAAAUGUGGAGGGUGUUGAUUCCAUCUCUUCUUUUCUAAGAUGUUUCCACUUGUGCAUUAGGAGAGCCUUACAUCUGAGAGAUACUCUGGCACAAUAGGAAAAAUGAAUUUUCUACAAAUGGGUAAAAAGUACAGUAGAAUGCUAAUAUCAUAAAUUACUUGAAUUUGGUUAUUUUUUUCUUAAUUAGGCAACAUUUUUGAACCAUAAGUAGGGUGAGAAACCUAGUUACGAAUUAUAUUGCUACUAAUUAUAAGUAGGCCUUAUUUGUUUAAAGUUUAUGUAGUUAACAGCUUAGAUGCUUUGUUGGUGUAGUGAAAAUUGCAUGUUUCUUGUUUGACAUUUGUAUUUGGUUGCACAUCCAUAGUAUCUAACAAUUUAAAAACUUGUUUGUACUCUAGGCAAUUGGCCCAUGCUUACCACAUUUUGUUACUAAUUUAUACAUCUGGAGUUUUUUUUUCUUUUUUCUGAUUUUUAUUCUUAUACAGUAUUUAUGCUUGCUACAUUAAUUCUAUUGAGUGUGGACCUAAUCAUUCUUUUACGAGUAUCUCUUUAGAAAUGUCGGAUCCUGAAUAUUUUUGUUUCACUAAGUAAUCAUGGUUGUGUCUUGAGGUUAUGGCAUUCAAGUAUUAAGAUGAGCACUCAUACAUCUGAUCUCACUCCAUAUGCACUAAAUUCAAGUGAUGUUUUGAGUCUUGGUCUUUUAUCAUUUACUUUAUAAUUUACUAACCUUUUAUUUUGUGAUUAUUGUUUGCAGUUGGGUGGAUGUAUCUGAAUUUUUGAUAGAGCCCUGUACGGCGAGGUUCAACCAUUCCUUAGCUUUAUGUUUAUUUUCCUUUGUUUAAGAAAAGUCUAAAGACCACUUGCUAUGAAAAAAAUAAUCUCUGGAGAUUAUUACGGGAUUAUCAUAAUUGGCUUCUUUUGUUGGUGAAUGAAAUUUAGAAGAGAGAGGAAUAUGAAGACGUGAAAUUUUACUACUCCAAAACUUUCCUCCUAUUCAUUCGCAUAGCUUUUGGUUUAUAGAUUGCAUUUGAGUGUAUGUUAGUAAUGACAAUAUCCUCCUUUAAGUGUAUGUUAAUGACAAUAUCCUCUUUUGUUCUUGUUGUAUGCAUUUUUUUCAUGUAAUGACAAUAUCCUCCUUUGUUCGUUUCUGCAAGUGUACUAGGUGUUGUCUAAUAUUUUUAGGAUGAAUGGAUCUUCUUAGAAAUUUACAAUUUGGUUUUACCUAUUAACAAAAAAAUACAGAUCCCUCUGUUUAUUAUAUGAGUUGCUCAGUUAGAACUCUCUAUAAGGGACUUCAGAAUAAGACUGUCGCAUGAUAUCGAAAAUAAGGAGUUAUGAACUAUGCACACUUAAUAAGUAUUUAAACAACAUAAUAGUUGUCCUCAUAAAAUUUCUUGAAGUUUAUUUCAGCUGGAUAGGAAUGAGAGGAAAAAGAACUGUGAUAGAGAAGAUGCUAACAUGAUGAGACUAUUUUAAUGAUUGUACAAUAAAAGACUGAAAUUGCAUUAGAACUAAGCAAAUUCCAAAAGAAAAUAUCCAACUUGCAGCUAUGAAGUGAGGUAACACCUCUCCACAGAUUGUAUUAAACAAAGUAAGCUGAUAAGCUACUUAGUAAAGAAUUUAAGUUAAAAUAAAGGAAUCAAGAAAAAUAUGAAUAAAGAAAGAAAGAAAAAAGACAUUAUGUUUCUUCCUGCAUAUUCUGCAUAUUCGGAUGGUCUUUAGCCAUUUGAUGUAGUACCUUUUUAAGUGAAGUGCCACUAAUCAAAACAUGUAAUGUAAAGCAUCAAUGUUUUGUCAAAAAAACCACUUCUAACAACACAGACAAAAUAAUCCGUACAUAUGCCAUAUAAUUUAAAUUUUUAGAAAGAAAGAAGAACCUUUCUCAAGUUACAUACACAUCUAACUGGUUUUCAAUUUUAUUACCAUGGUUUGCAUAACCAAAAAAAAUAAUUGCAUACCAUGAUUACGUUCCCUUCUUGGACAAGGUUACAACAAACUAUACUAGAAGUUUAAUUAACCCAAAUGACAAUAUUUACUCCAUCUACAAUAACAUGAUUAAAAUCAAAAACCAAGAAGAAACAAGUGCAAUAAUUAAUUUUAUUCUUCCUUUGUUGCCUAUUGCACGCAUGUUCUCCAUCUCUUGCUCCAUUCUGUUAAUCUUUCGAAGUAAUCCGGGGAUUAUUUACCUUGAUUUGUCACACAUUGAAGGAUCGUACCAACCAAAAUACUAACAAGAAUUGUUCUGUAAACAAAGAAGUUUUCCAUUUUAUGUGCAAGUAAAUAGAAUAGUAGAGAUAAGAGACAAAAUUGGAACCCUAAGACACUCAUAAUUCGAACAUGAUAAAAACCUUCUUCUUGGGUUUGUAUUGGUCAAUGUUGUUUUAAGUUGAGCUCGCCUCUCAUAAUCACAUAGUGCGUUCAUGGUUGCAAAUACAAAACAGAUAAAUUAAGAGUCCAAGAACAAUGACUCAAGAACUUGCAAAUAUAAAAUAGGAAAGCACAAUGGAAAUAGAUUUUUCUAUGAGAGAAUACAACUGAAAAGGCAGUUAAUAUUUAAGGAAUAUCAAAGACGUUAGCAGAAACUUCUGGAACGCUUGUAAUCUAAAAAAUUAUGGGAAUGUAUGUGACAGGUAACAAGAAGUGAAAAACAAAUGAAAGAGAAGGUAAAACUCAAGCAGAAAGCGAGAUUAAAAUAUAUAGGCAAUAUCUGCAACUUAGAAUAUUUUAUAUCAUCUCCAAAACCUCCUGUAACCUUAAUAUAUAGGCCCAAUUUAGAGAUCAACAGUUUACAAAGAAUUUGGUCAUACAUAAGUAAUUAAAAUUUCAGGACACAAGUGACAACCAUAAAUCUACGAUCUUGUAAACAAAAAGUUGGAUAUUUGUCAUACCACUAGUACCUAAGCAUUUUAAUAAGUUUAACCCCAAGAGGUCUCAUCGCCAUCAAAUGCCCAACUGCAACACUGCUUUUUGAACUACUUGAAGAUUUCAUACAAACAUAUACAACACAAAUAAAUCGGGUGUUCAGAUGCAUCCGUAUAUGUGAUAAUACAUACAUAAGGGAUGUACUUAACUACCUGCACAAGAAAGGCAAAUCUUAUCAAAUUGCAAGCCAGAGUGCUUACCUGUUGUGUGGUCAUACACUACUAUACUAGAUACCAUGCCCAAGUAAUAUACUAGAUACCAUGGCCAACUAAAUUCUAAGGCGAGAUUAUAACUAAAAUUCACUUCGUGAGCACAAAUUACUAAGUGCACAAGUAAUAUUCCCUCAGUCCCAAAUUGAGAGCCUUUGUUUCUUUGUUUGUGUAUCUCAAAUAGAGAAUAUUUUUUCUUCUAAAAAUAGACUAAACUUAAUCAAUUGCAAUUAUCUACUUAAUUAAAAGUAGUUAAACUUAACUUUCACUAAAUAUCAAUAUCAUUAUUUAUAGAGUUAAGCAUGGACAACUUUUAUUAAAGUGAAUUCUAAUGCAGGACUCAUAUUUUGGGAAGGGGGGUAUAUUAAACAACAUAUAAGAUCGGAAGGAGGGUGUAUUAAACAACACUUAAUCGAUUGCAACAGACUACAUUAGAAUUCACUUUAAUAAAAGUUGUCUAUGCUUAACUCUAUAAAUAAUGAUAUUGAUAUUUAGUGAAGGUUAAGUUUAACUAAUUUUAAUUAAGUAGAUAAUUGCAAUUGAUUAAGUUUAGUCCAUUUUUAGAAGAAAAAAUAUUCUCAAUUUGAGAUACACAAACAAAGAAACAAAGGCUCUCAAUUUGGGACUGAGGGAAUAUUACUUGUACACUUAGUAAUUUGUGCUCACAAAGUGAAUUUUAGUUAUAAUCUUGCUUUAGAAUUUAGUUGGGCAUGGUAUCUAGUAUAGUAGUGUAUGGCCACACAACAGGUAAGCACUCUGGCUUGCAAUUUGAUAAGAUUUGCCUUUCUGGUGCAAGUAGUUAAGCACAUCCCUUAUAUAUGUAUUAUCACAUAUGUUGAUGUAUCUGAACACCCGAUUUAUUUGUGUUGUAUAUGCGAUUCCCCCAAAAUAGGUAUACAUCACCCAUUCUGAGUCGUUAAUAAGAUGGUACAGAAACAACUACAACUUUAUUAAUACAAUUGUCGUGCAAAAUACGACAACACAUAAACUGUGAGUUUAAAUACAAAUAUUGUCAUCUAGACAAUAUUCACACCCAAAUAAGUUCUCAUUACAAUUAUUGAUACAUUAUUUUACAAAAAUGGUGAGGACUACUAAAAAUAACUUCCUAGGAUUUUCAUUCCAUACCCCGACUAGUACUCACUAUAUUCUCGCCUCCUGAGAAGAAAAAAUGGAACAAAAAGGAAAAUGGUGAGCUCAACUAGCCCAGUAAAGAAUAUUAUGACUAAGAUAAUAUAGAACAAAUAAUCGUUAGUCUUCAACAUGGAAAAAAUCUGAUAAAAUACAAUAGAUAAUAAGUUUCAGACCAAUAUUCGCAGCGGAAAUAAUAAUUUCAUAGAAGAGUUUCGUAGAGAAUGAAAUCUACUAUUAUCUAUGAAUUUAAAAGUCCAUCAUCAAUAUUUUAUCCCUGUAACAUCAAUCAAUAUACAUCAUGAAUCAAAUAUUCAUCUUUGCACUACAGGCUAAAGAUAUUCAUCAGUUGGUCAUAUUCAUCUCAACACCUGUUCAUCUUUGCACUACGGGCCAAAGAUAUUCAUCAUAAAAUCAUUCAUCUUUGCACUACAGGCCAAAGAUAUUUAGUAAUAUCAUCAUUUAGGACUGAGGAUGAUGAAAAAUAUUUUAAAGAAAACGAAUCCUAGUGAAACAAAAGAAUAAAUAUUAAGGAUUCGUACUUUAAACAAUCCAAGUUCAAAAAUACUUCGUAAAUAAUCAUAGUGAAGUAAAAUUCAAGAAUGAUCAAAACAUGGAUACAAUCAAAGCUAGUAUCCAUAAUAGAUAUUUUGGACAAAAAAUAAAAUUUAAUUUUUUUGUGAAUAGUGCCGUAUUCGUGAAUAGUGUCGUAUACAUGAAUAGUAACCCCGACACUAAAAGACAAGAAUUUCACAAGAAAAAUCUUACCAAUACUCUGGCAUAAUGAUAUUAGAAGAAAUAAUAUCAUUAAAAAAAAUAAUAUCCCUUACCUCGAAGAGAAUGGUACUUCUGGCUGGAAUAUCAGAUAUAACGCUGAAGGAACUUGCACCGUAUAGCAACACUCAAAGUAUCAAAAUACUCACAAGAAUACGCUCGAUAAUAUAGAGAGAGAAAACUUCAGUUUCUGGUGUGAUUUUCAAUUCUAACCUAAGCACUUUAUUUAUAGGAAAAUGCUUAGAACACCAAAACAAAAAAUUUAAUAUAAUAUUAAUAUAAUUAUAAAAUUGUCAACCCCACCUUUGAAAUCUGAUUUCAGCUCAUUUAAAUCACAUGUGAGACCCAGUCAACUCAUCAAAAACGUUUUUCUUAAAAAACAUAACUAAAACUUUCAAAAAUCAAUUAUUUUGGAACUUCGGAACUUCAAUAAUUCAUAAUAAAUAGCUAUUUUAUCAGAAAAAUUUGAACCUUACAUCUUUUCUAUAGAAAAUUCUAUUCUCUACAACUUUUUAAGUUUAAGUUUUUCUAAAUUCCAAACAGAAAUUGACCGAAAUCCACAAACGGGCGAUUUUACAAGCUAUAAUCAAAUUUCAGUCAAGAAAUGGGAUCCACAAACAUGAAAAACAUGUUUUAAAUAUUUUUAGUAACAAAAAUACUCUUCCUCCUCAUUUAUUCAUAUAUCCCACAUUCAUUGUAAAAAUAUCACCAUUAUUAUAUUAUUAUAAUAUAAUAAUAUAUUUAAAUGAAUUAUUUAUCAAAAAAGAUAAAAUAUAAAUUUUUCAACAAUUGUCACUUUAAAAUUUUCUCCAUCUACAUCCACAUAAAAUGAAUAUUUUCUUUAUCAUAUAAAUAAAUAAUUAAUUAUUCACAAAUAAUAUUACAGAAUCACAAUAUCGACAACCAGGCCGUUCCCAGGAAAGAGGGGGCUUUCCAAUAAGGAUUUCUCCUUACUGGCACACAAUUAGGUGACCAAACCUCUCCUUAGACAGAAUUUUCUAGACAUUGCCAAUAAUGUUAUCUAAUAAUAUUAUUCAAAUAAUAUGAAUUAUUGAUCUGAUAAUGGAAAAUACUGUGUAGUGACAAUUAUUGAAACAACAACAAUAUAAAAUAUCAACGCAACAAUUAUUGAAUCAAUAAUAUAAAAUAUUGAACAGUAAUUACUGUAACAAUUAUUGAGUAGUGCCUUCUUACGUAAGAAUCAAUAAUUGGUGCAAUACCGUGUGCUACUGUGUUUUAACCACCGGGUAUUCCAACAGUAUUAACGGUAACAACUACGCCGUUAUUUAUAACCAACUUAUAUUUGUCGUUUUCCUUCAUAUAAUCGCUUUUUGUUAUGGGGCCCACACAAGGCUGCGCCGUCAUACGAAUAUUCCCCGACAGUAAGAAUAUUCCAUGACCAAACGAAUAUUCCCCGACAAUAAUAAAUAUUUUAUAACAACUUGCUUAUUUGAAAUAUUUGCGCAUUUUACCCAUAACUAACCACAUUAAUCAAAUCAACCCUUACUAUUUCAAAAUAAUAAAUAGAGGAAAUUCAAUUUCAUUUAUAAUAAGUUGGCGUCUUACAACCUCCCCUCCUUAUGAAAUUUCGUCCUCGAAAUUGACAUACGUACCUGGUGUUUCGAAAAGGUGAGGAUACCUCGUUUUCAUUUCCGUUUCCAACUCCCAGGUCAUUUCCUCUAUAGCAUGGUUCCUCCACAAAACUUUGACUUAUGGUAUGACCUUUGUGCGUAGGACAUGCUCCUUCAUAUCCAAGAUUUUGACAGGUACCUCUUCGUACGUUAAGUCUUCGGCUAUCUCGUCCGGUUUUAACUCAAUAACGUGGUUCGGGUCUUUCACAUAUUUACAAAGCACAGAUAUGUGAAAAACAUUAUGAACACGAGACAUGCUUGGAGGUAAUGCGAGUCUAUAGAACACAUUUCCUACUCGGUCAAGAAUUUGAAAUGGACCAAUAAAUCGUGGAUUGAGCUUUCUUCUCUUCCCAAAUCUUGUAACUCCCUUCCAUGGAGCAACACUCAACAAUACAUGAUCCCCAAUACUAAAUUCCACGUCCUUUCGAUGAAGAUCCGCAUAACUCUUUUGUCAAAUCUGUGCCGUUUGUAUACGUUGUCGAAUCAUUUGGAUCUUUUUCGUAGUCAUACGUACUAACUCGGGUCCCAACAAUGUUGUUUCACCCACUUCAUCCCAACAUAUUAGAGAGCGACACUUUCGUCCAUACAAUGCUUCGAAUGGAGCCACACCUAUACUUGUCUGACAACUAUUGUUGUAGGAGAAUUCCACCAAUGGUAAAUACUUAUCCCAACUCCCUUUGAAGUUUAGGACACAGAGUCUUAAUAGAUCUUCAAGAGUUUGAAUAGUCCUCUCUGAUUGUCCGUCUGUUUGAGGAUGGUAUGCUGAACUGAAUCGUAAAUCCGUGCCCAUAGUUUUUUGCAAACUAACCCAAAAUCGUGAAGUGAAUCUUGGGUCACGAUUCAAAACAAUGGAUACUGGCAUGCCAUUUAAUCUCAUAAUUUCAUUUACAUAUAUAUGAGAAAGACGUUCAAGGGAAUAAGUCUCCCGUAUCGGCAAGAAAUGAGCAAACUUGGUUAAUCUAUCAAUAAUAACCCAAAUAACCUUUAUACCUUGAGAAACCGUGGGAAGACCCGUAACGAAAUCCAUGGUAAUGUGUUCCCACUUCCAUUUCAGAUUCUCAAGUGGUUGCAAUGGACCCUUAGGUACUUGAUGCUCCGCCUUUACACGUUGACAUGUUAAACACCUCGAGAAAAACUUUUCAAUCUCUCUCUUUAUAUUGUUCCACCAAAAUGUAUGUCGAAGAUCACGAUACAUUUUGGUACUUCCAGGAUGGAUUGCAAACGGUGUAUUUUGUGCCUCCGUUAUGAUCUUGUAUUUCAAAUCAAAGUCAUUAGGAACACAAAGUCUGGAGUGGACUCCAAGUAUUCCUUCUUCAUCGAUUCUCACUUCUGGAAUAACACCUUCUUGUACUUUUUUCUUCAUACGCAUCAGCUCUGGGUCGGUGGCUUGAGCAACUUUAACUUUUUCUAUUAAAGUUGGCUCUAUUCGUAUACUUGACAUCAUCACAUGGGUCCCAGGAGUCUUGAAUUCUAUCUUCAUCUUUUGUAAAUCAUACAAAAUGGGCCUUUGUGUUGACAACAUCGCACUUGUUCCCGCAUAUGAUCUUCUACUCAACGCAUCAGCUACCACGUUCGCUUUUCUAGGAUGGUAUUGAAUAGCGUGGUCGUAAACUUUCAACAGCUCGAGCCAACGUCGUUGCCGCAUGUUGAGUUCCUUUUGGGUGAAGAAAUAUUUGAGGCUUUUAUGGUCUGAAUAUAUCUCCACUUUCUCUCCAUAUAGAUAGUGCCUCCAGAUCUUUAGCGUGAAAAUGACUGCUGCCAACUCUAGAUCAUGAAUAGGAUAAUUCCUCUCAUAUUCUUUAAGUUGUCGUGAGGCAUAGGCUAUGUCUUUCCCAUGUUGUAUGAGAACACAUCCUAACCCUUUCCCCGAAGCAUCGCUGUAGAUAACAAAUCCAUCCGAACCAGAUGGUAUUGUCAGAACACGUGCCGAAAUAAGUCUCCUCUUAAGCUCUUGAAAACUCUUCUCGCAUUCCUCGUUCCAUACGAAUUUUGUAUCUUUCCGAGUCAGCUGAGUUAAUGGAGUAGCGAUUCGAGAAAAUCCUUCCACGAAUCUCCGAUAAUAACUAGCUAAGCCCAGAAAACUACGUACUUCGGGCACCGUCUUCGGUUGCUCCCAACUUUGUAUUGCUUCAAUCUUUGCUGGGUCCAUAGAUACUCCAUGUUUUGACACCACGUGCCCAAGGAAUGCUACUUCCUCAAGCCAGAACUCGCAUUUCUUCAACUUGGCAUAUAGCUUGUUUUCACGAAGCCUUUGGAGUACCAGCUUCAAAUCGUGCUCAUGAUCUUCACGACUUUAGGAAUAUAUGAGGAUGUCAUCAAUAAAGACAACCACGAACUGAUCCAAAUAUUCCUUGAAUACUCGGUUCAUCAUAUCCAUGAAAGUCACAGGACCAUUAGUCAAUCCAAAAGACAUGACUAAGAAUUCAUAAUGCCCGUACCGAGUUCUGAAGGCAGUAUUUGGAAUAUCCUCAGUUCUAAUCUUUAGCUAAUGAUAUCCAGAACGAAGAUCAAUCUUUGAAAAGAAUUGCGCUCCUUGCAACUGGUCAAACAGGUCAUUAAUGCGAGGUAACAGAUACCUAUUCUUGAUGGUGACAUGGUUUAAUUCUCGCUAGUCAAUACAAAGUCGCAUACUUCCGUCUUUCUUCUUUACAAAUAAAAUAGGAGCACCCCAAGGAGAUGUACUAGGACGAAUGAAACCGAUGUCCAAUAACUCUUGUAGUUGAACCUUUAACUCCUGAAGUUCAAUAGGAGCCAUUUGAUAUGGGGUUUUUAGAAAUGGGCUUUGUACCAGGUUCAAGAUCAAUAAAGAAUUCAACUUCACGUUCUGGGGGUAGACCGGGAAGUUCUUCAGGAAAUACGUCAGGAAAUUUAUUAACAACAGGAAUAUUAUUCAAAUCUGACGUGUCUUUAUUCAAAUCCAUAACAUUGGCUAAGAAAGCUUGACAUCCGUUUUUUAAUAAAUAAAUGGCUUUAUGGCUUGAUAUAACAGUGAUUGAUUUUAGUGGUUUAGUUGCUUGAAUUCGCACAACAGGUUGGUUAAGAAUAUGAAAACUAACAACCUUACGAAAAUAAUCAAUUUUGGCAUGAUGAGUAGUUAACCAAUUAAUCCCUAAAAUCACAUCAAAUGCAAGUAUCUUUAAAGAGAUAAGGUCAACAGGUAAGGUGAUGGUGCCAACUUGGAUCAAACAAGAUUUAUAAACAGUGGAUGUAAUGAAAUUUUCUCCUAACGGAGUCUCCACAGAUAAAUCAAAGUCUAAUUUCUCCGGAGUCAAGUUUAAACGUUGAGCACAAGCAGGAGAGAUAAAUGAAUGGGUAGCACCGGUAUCUAGUAAGGUAUAAACUUCGCAAGAAUUUAUGAUUAGCUUACCCGUGAUUACCUCAUUUGGGUUCCUCACAUUUUGACCAGUCACGACAAACGCUCUUCCAGGAACCGUUGACUUUGACUUUUCUGGGACAGCCUUUUGAGUCACCAUCCCCCCUGGACUUGGUUUCGUUACCGUACAAUCUCAAGUGAUAUGUCCUUCUUUUCCACAAUUAUAGCAUACCUUGAACUGUUGUGGACAGUUUGGGCUAAUAUGCCCCUCUUUUUCGCAUUUAUAGCAUACGACCGGUGGUCAUUCUCCUCCCUUAGAACCAGUUGCUGCUGGUACUGACGUCUUCGCAUGGUAAUUGUUGAAUCUCCUCUUUUUAAAAUCUCCUCCCGACUCGCUUCUUCUAUUCUCAUGGCCAUGAUUAUCACCAGAGUGGUUGCCGCUUUUGUCCGUAUUUUUAUUUCUCUGUUGGUUAUCGUUGUUCUGAUGACUGAUGUCACCGGUAUGACUUUGGUUGUGGUCCUUCGAUUAAACGUACUCGUUAUAUCGCUCUAAUAAUUGAGCCAUGUUGACAACAUCUGAAUAUAGAGAAAAUUUAUGAGAAAUGAGAUACUGACGUAUGUCGGGUUUCAAACCUCACAAAAACAUCCGCGUCAUAAGUUCCUUAUUCUCCACCAAAUGAGGUUCAAACCUGGAUAACUCUGCAAACUUCGCCUCGUACUAGGACACCGUCAUGUUGUUUUGUUCUAGUCUAAUAAACUCCACUUCCUUCAUAUGACGAAUACUUUCAGGAAAGUACUUGUCAUUGAACAGUUUCUGAAACGUCUCUCAAGACAUGCUAAGUGUGGCUGGAUGGGUACGCUUCACAGAUUCCCACUAGUAAUCUGCCUCAUUAUGGAACAUAAAAAUGGCGAAUGGAACCUUCUGUUCCUCCAUGCAUCCCAAGACAUCGAAUAUCUUGGUGAUUUAUUUGACCCACGUUUCUGCCUUAAUCGGAUCCGGCUUUCCCCAAAAUUCUGGUGGUCCCAACUCUUUGAAAUGCUUGGCGGUGACAAACCGUGUGUUGUUAUCAUUUCCACCUAUAUUUUGUGCACGAGUCUCCCUCGUCUGAUUUUGCAUGAACUGAAAAAAGCUUCUAAACAUCCUGUCAUUAAUCAUCUGCUCAGUGGUGUUGUUCACAGGAGGAACAUUGUCAGCCUGUUGCACGUUCUCCUCGUUGGUGAGUAAAGGUGUCUCCACGGUUUCAUUUACUCCACUAUUAACAUUCUCAGUCGACAUUCUCAAAUACUGCCAUAAAACAAAGGUUAAUUAAAAAAAUCAACAUAUCACAUAAUAUCCCUAUAUACUGACCAACCAACAAAUAAGCUUAGGUAAGACACACUAGCGAAGGUUUUACUCGUCUCUCCCCUCCUAGUUCUAUUCCCCGAUCUCCGCCAGAGAUCAUAUUCCUAAGCUCUUAUACCAACUGUGACGCCUCCAAAAUAGGUAUACAUCACCCAUUCUGAGUCGUCAAUAACAUGGUACAGAAACAACUACAACUUUAUUAAUACAAUUGCCGUGCAAAAUACGACAACACAUAAAUUGUGAGUUUAAAUACAAAUAUUGUCAUCUAGACAAUAUUCACACCCAAAUAAGUCCUCAUUAAAAUUAUUGAUACAUUAUUUUACAAAAAUGGUGAGGACUACUAAAAAUAACUUCCUAGGACCUUCAUUCCAUACCCCGACUAGUAUUAUCAUUUGGGUUGAUUAAACUUCUAGUAUAGUUUGCUGUAACCUUGUCCAAGAAGGGAACAUAAUCAUGGUAUGCAAUUAUUUUUUUUGGUUGUGUAAACCAUGGUAAUAAAAUUGAAAACCAGUUGGAUGUGUAUGUAACUUGAGAAAGGUUCUUCUUUCUUUCUAAAAAUUUAAAUUAUCUGGCACAUGUACGGAUUAUUUUGUCUGUGUUGUUAGAAAUGGUUUUUUUGACAGAACACUGAUGCUUUAGAUUACAUGUUUUGAUUAGUGUCACUUCACUUAGAAAGGUACUACAUCAAAUGGCUAAAGACCAUCCGAAUAUGCAGAAUAUGCAGGAAGAAACAUAAUGUCUUUUUUCUUUCUUUAUUCAUAUUUUUCUUGAUUCCUUUGUUUUAACUUAAAUUCUUUACCAAGUAGCUUAUCAGCUUACUUUGUUUAAUACAAUCUGUGGAGAGGUGUUACCUCACUUCAUAGGUGCAAGUUGGAUAUUUUCUUUUGGAAUUUGCUUAGUUCUAAUGCAAUUUCAAUAUUUGAUUGUACAAUCAUUAAAAUAGUCUCAUCAUGUUAGCAUCUACUCUGUCACAGUUCUUUUUUCUCUCAUUCCUAUCCAGCUGAAAUAAACUUCAAGAAAUUUUAUGAGGACAACUAUUAUGUUGUUUAAAUACUUAUUAAGUGUGCAUAAUUCAUAACUCCUUAUUUUCGAUAUCAUGAGACAGUCUUGUUCUGAAGUCCCUUAUAGAGAGUUCUUACUCAGCAACUCAUAUAAUAAACAGAGGGAUUUGUAUUUUUUGUUAACAGUUAAAACCAAAUUGUAAAUUUCUAAGAAGAUCCAUUCAUCCUAAAAACAAUAGACAACACCUAGUACACUUGCAGAAACAAACAAAGGAGGAUAUUGUCAUUACAUGAAGAAAAUGCAUACAACAAGAACAAAGGAGGAUAUUGUCAUUACUAACAUACACUUAAAGGAGGAUAUUGUCAUUACUAACAUACACUCAAAUGCAAUCUAUAAACCAAAAGCUAUGCAAAUGAAUAGGAGGAAAGUUUUGGCGUAGUAAAAUUUCAUUCACCAACAAAAGAAGCCAAUUAUGAUAAUCCCGUAAUAAUCUCCAGAGAUUAUUUUUUUCGUAGCAAGUGGUCUUUAGACAUUUCUUAAACAAAUGAAAGUAAACAUAAAACCAAGGAAUGGUUGAACCUCGUCGUACAAGGCUUUAUCAAAAAUUCAGAUACAUCCACCCA